GAUUUCGAUUCCUCUUAUGAAUCAAACAAAUUAAAGUUUUCAUUAUUCCGUUUUUGAUUCUCGUCCAUUUUUAUUUUUAUUCUGAUUUCGAUUCUUAUUUUGAACCGAAUACGCCCUAAAUUAUGCUGUAACGGCUGUAACUCAGCCUUAAAAAAUUUGAAUAAUUGAGAAGUGGCCACGAGAAUGGGGAGGUUAAAUUAAAGGAAAAACUUCAAAAACUCCCUGUGUGGUUUCACACUUUCUCACUUUCGUACCCUGUGAUUUAAAGUGUAUCAAUUUAGCACCCUAUAGUUUUAUUUUUCUCUUUUUAUUAUUAAUUUCACUAUUUUUUUUCUUAAAUCAGUGACAAAGUUAAAAUUAAAUAGAACUAAAGUGAAUAUUCGAUAAACCUUGGUGGGUAUCUGAAGUUUUUUAUAUAUAAUUUAACGAAAUAUUAAUGAAAAAGCUGCCGAAAAGAUAAAAAUGAAAACACAGGGCACCAAAUUGAUACACUUUAAACCACAUGGUACUAAAGUGAGAAAGUGCGAAACCACGUGUGCAGUUGUGAAGUUUUCCCUAAAUUAAAAAAAAGAAAAAG
rnacentral:lncRNA from 1 species